UCAAACCACCGCAAUCACCGUUCAUUUUUCUUAUUUCUGUCCAAUUCUUAUAUGUUUCAAAACGAAUACACCGAAUAUUCGAAUUGAUAUCCUUCAAAUUUUACCGCAUAUCCUUAUAAGCCUUUGUGACUUCAACCUUCCUUAAUAGCAAUCGGAGUCUGAUCCCUACGUUUCACCGGAGAUUUACCGACGCACCACCGCAGCCAGUCGAGGCUAUAACCACAAUGUCGCACCACCACUUUCAUAGUCGCCAUCAUACCACGCAACAUCGGAGUUCCUGAGCAGUUACCUUUCACGAACUAGGUAGCCAUCGGAUUCAGGUGACGUGCUUCUUUCGUUACCAUCGACCCCACCAUCACUUCCGUCACUCGUGUUCUCUGAUUCACGAACAGCCGCGGCGACCCCCUUCUGGUUCGAUUAACUGCCGCCCUAACGAAAUUUCUGAUUAAUAGCCAUGAGUUCGACCUCCGCAUCCAUCAUUCAGGUUGCCUUAUAACAACUUCAAGUCAGACAUUAUAAUGUUUUGUCAAGUUCGACUUACGCUUUAAGGUAAUAUGGGAUGAUCUGGGAUUUCAGUGAGGAGCGUUAGGAAGUCGCUGGUCAAGAUUCUUUAUUUCAGUAAUGUAAUAAAUGUAAUUAAGGGUUUUCUAUUUAAUGCUAUGGAUUAGCUUUUAGUUUUGAUAUCUGUAAGAGUGACACGUCAGCCCUAGCGGGGUUGGGGUGUUACAGUAAGCCUAUAAACUGGUUGUCUUGGCUCGUUUUUUAUGUGGAAAUGCUAUCUUAAGGGAUUAGUCCCACUCACAUUAUUCUUCUUGAA